UACGGAAGGCAGCAGUGGGGAAUAUUGCACAAUGGGCGCAAGCCUGAUGCAGCCAUGCCGCGUGUAUGAAGAAGGCCUUCGGGUUGUAAAGUACUUUCAGUCGUGAGGAAGGUGUUAAGGUUAAUAACCUUAGCAAUUGACGUUAGCGACAGAAGAAGCACCGGCUAACUCCGUGCCAGCAGCCGCGGUAAUACGGAGGGUGCGAGCGUUAAUCGGAAUUACUGGGCGUAAAGGGCACGCAGGCGGUUAAUUAAGUUGGAUGUGAAAUCCCCGGGCUUAACCUGGGAAUGGCAUUCAAGACUGGUUAGCUAGAGUCUUGUAGAGGGGGUAGAAUUCCAUGUGUAGCGAUGAAAUGCGUAGAGAUGUGGAGGAAUACCGGUGGCGAAGGCGGCCCCUGGACAAAGACUGACGCUCAUGUGCGAAAGCGUGGGGAGCAAACAGGAUUAGAUACC
rnacentral:rRNA from 1 species